UGCGUAGGCGGUUUGAUCAGUCAGUGGUGAAAGUUUGCAGCUUAACUGUAAAAUUGCCAUUGAUACUGUCAGACUUGAGUACAGAUGAGGUAGGCGGAAUGUGUAGUGUAGCGGUGAAAUGCUUAGAUAUUACACAGAACACCGAUUGCGAAGGCAGCUUACUAAACUGAAACUGACGCUGAGGCACGAAAGUGUGGGGAUCAAACAGGAUUAGAUACCCUGGUAGUCC
rnacentral:rRNA from 1 species